rnacentral:rRNA from 1 species
UACGAAGGGGGCUAGCGUUGUUCGGAAUCACUGGGCGUAAAGCGUAUGUAGGCGGAUUGUUAAGUCAGGGGUGAAAUCCCGAGGCUCAACCUCGGAACUGCCUUUGAUACUGGCUGUCUUGAGUCCGGGAGAGGUGAGUGGAAUUCCUAGUGUAGAGGUGAAAUUCGUAGAUAUUAGGAAGAACACCAGUGGCGAAGGCGGCUCACUGGCCCGGAACUGACGCUGAAAUACGAAAGCGUGGGGAGCAAACAGG